rnacentral:lncRNA from 1 species
GUGUUGCUUGAUUAUUUGUUCUAGAGUAAAUGGUAUAUAAAUUAAGCAAAUAAAUGCUUGAUUUUUCGGAGCAUUUGUUACUAUUUUUUUUAUUCUUUUCUUCUGUACAGUUAAUACAUUUUAUUACAAAAUUAAUAUAUCUGUUCGACAAAGCUCAUUCUGGAUUCUUUGAUCCUUCUUUUAUUCUUUAGAGUUCUUUUCUUUCUUAAAGGUAAAAUGGAACAAACCGGUAGAAGCAUACCGACAAGGUGGGAUCUAAGAGUUAGAACUUAUUAAGCAUUUCGCACAUACCAUAUCGCUAAUGACACAUUUCUAUUUCUAUUAUAUAGAAAAGCCAAAGAGGUCGACCAAGGGUAAAAGAGUAAUUUAAAUAUUUUUAUUAAAAUAAUUACUUUUAUCAUUGGUGUUUAUUUCUUGUUGUUUCCAGGUUUGGCUCUAGAAGCAUCCUUCUUCAAUCUUUCUCAUCCCCAAAAUCAAACGCAAGACUACUCUUAUUCCAAUAUCAAUUUCAUAUUCUCUCACUUCUCUUCAUCACCGCAUCUGGCAUUGUCGUUUCAGGUAUGCUUUUCUGUUAGUAAUUUUUUGCCCAAAUCUUCUUCUAAUUCUCUUAGAAUUUUCCAAAGUCAUGCCUAAUGUUGUUAUUUUCCUGCCUCUCUUUUCAAUGUUCUUCGGCAUUUCAUUCUCUUUCUGUUUCACUUUUCGCCUUUAAUCUGUUAUUUUUGCAUGAUUUUUAUUUUCUCUUCAGUCUUCCAAAGACUACCCUUUCAGAGUUUCAGUUCGUU